UAACGCGAAGAACCUUACCUGGGCUUGACAUGUGGGUGACCGCCGUGGAAACACGGCUUCCCUUCGGGGCACCUUCACAGGUGGUGCAUGGCUGUCGUCAGCUCGUGUCGUGAGAUGUUGGGUUAAGUCCCGCAACGAGCGCAACCCCCGUCGCAUGUUGCCAGCAUUUAGUUGGGGACUCAUGCGAGACUGCCGGUGACAAACCGGAGGAAGGUGGGGAUGACGUCAAGUCAUCAUGCCCCUUAUGUCCAGGGCUACACACGUGCUACAUUGGCGCAUACAAAGGGCAGCAAUACCGUGAGGUGGAGCGAAUCCCAGAAAGUGCGCCUCGGUUCGGAUUGGAGGCUGAAACUCGCCUCCAUGAAGGUGGGGUUGCUAGUAAUCGCGGAUCAGCAAUGCCGCGGUGAAUACGUUCCCGGGUCUUGUACACACCGA
rnacentral:rRNA from 1 species